UACGUAGGGGGCAAGCGUUGUCCGGAAUCAUUGGGCGUAAAGCGCGUGUAGGCGGCCUGCAUAGUCUGGUGUGAAAUCUCGGGGCUCAACCCCGAGCUGUCACUGGAUACUGGCAGGCUAGAGUCCGGAAGAGGCGAGUGGAACUCCUGGUGUAGCGGUGGAAUGCGCAGAUAUCAGGAAGAACACCAACGGCGAAGGCAGCUCGCUAGGACGGUACUGACGCUGAGGAGCGAAAGCGUGGGGAGCGAACAGG
rnacentral:rRNA from 1 species